rnacentral:rRNA from 1 species
GACGAACGCUGGCGGCGUGCUUAACACAUGCAAGUCGAGCGGUAAGGCCCUUUCGGGGUACGACGAGCGGCGAACGGGUGAGUAACACGUGGGUGACCUGCCCUUAGCUCUGGGAUAAGCCUGGGAAACUGGGUCUAAUACCGGAUAUGACUCCAUGACGCAUGUUGUGGGGUGGAAAGCCUUGUGCGGCUAGGGAUGGGCCCGCGGCCUAUCAGCUUGUUGGUGGGGUGAUGGCCACCAAGGCGACGACGGGUAGCCGGCCUGAGAGGGCGACCGGCCACACUGGGACUGAGACACGGCCCAGACUCCUACGGGAGGCAGCAGUGGGGAAUCUUGCGCAAUGGGCGAAAGCCUGACGCAGCGACGCCGCGUGAGGGAUGACGGCCUGGUGUAA